rnacentral:rRNA from 1 species
AAUGAACGCUGGCGGCAUGCCUUACACAUGCAAGUCGAACGGCAGCAUGACCUAGCUUGCUUGGUUGAUGGCGAGUGGCGAACGGGUGAGUAAUGCAUCGGAACGUGCCUCUUAGUGGGGGAUAACGUAGCGAAAGUUACGCUAAUACCGCAUAUUCUCUGAGGAGGAAAGCAGGGGACCUUCGGGCCUUGCGCUAGAAGAGCGGCCGAUGUCGGAUUAGCUAGUUGGUGAGGUAAAGGCUCACCAAGGCAACGAUCCGUAGCGGGUCUGAGAGGAUGAUCCGCCACACUGGGACUGAGACACGGCCCAGACUCCUACGGGAGGCAGCAGUGGGGAAUUUUGGACAAUGGGCGCAAGCCUGAUCCAGCCAUGCCGCGUGAGUGAAGAAGGCCUUCGGGUUGUAAAGCUCUUUCGGCUGGGAAGAAAUCGCACCCUCCAAUACAGGGUGUGGAUGACGGUACCAGCAUAAGAAGCACCGGCUAACUACGUG